rnacentral:lncRNA from 1 species
AUGCAGUCGGGAGUGAGGCGCUCUGUGAAGAGCUUGUAUUUAGAGCAGACUUUUUCUAUGGCCUGUGAAACCACCAACUGGAUCAGUCUGUUCACACACAACUUAUCCUGCAUUUUCAGUGUUUUCUCCCAUGGUGAUAUUUCAGCCUUUGUCUCCUGUAUUUGGUUGAUCUCAUCUGUGCUCAGAUACAUCUGGAGGAUGUAUGUCUCUGGGGUUACCAUUUCUACUGUCUCUGUCUUUGCCUCCUCUAAUUCUUUUGUCUGCUCGUCCAUUUUUUUCUGCAUUUCUUUUGUGUCCUUCACCACUUUCUGCUCUUCCAGGACUUUCUUAUUUUCUUCCUCCAGGACUUUCUUCUCCUGCUCCAGAACAAAGCUACGGUGUUACAAUGAAUCCGAUAUUGAGAUAAGACUGAGGGUAGCAGAACAAAAGUUCAUCCAGUAAUCGCUCGUGACUGUAAGUAAGAAACGUGCGACAGUGUGCGGUUUCACCUGGCUAUUUAUGGAUUUGGGUUGACUUUGAUGUCAGCCCAUGAUUCUCUUGCCUUUCGUCUUUGAAACUAGCCCCGCCCACAACAACGCUCCCUAUUGGCUGAUUGAAAAUAGGUAACGCGCACAAAGAACAUUCUGUCAGAGUUUCUGACGUCAUGGCCUGAUGCCCUUGCCUUUCAUGUUUGAAACGGGCCUUAAUUUGCUUAAGCAUUUGGGUCACUUCCAGUGACUGUAGAAAACAGUCAUUGGCUUGAACAGGAAGGGAGUCACAGUGGAGUUUACCACGAAGGGAGAAGAAAUAAACAUCACAGAUAAAAAAAUAAAUAAAUGUGAAAAGCACAGAAAAUGUCUGCAGUUGUUUUAAUGCUGUGUUUCACAUCAUUGUAAAAAAAAAAAAAAAAAAUGUAGCAGAGGAGUUAACUUAAAAACAGUCCAAACAAAAAGUCCACUUUUUUACACCUCUCUCUGGUUUCAGUACACAAGUGCAACUUAACAACUGUCUGCAAAGCUCUAUGUUGAAACAACCAUAACGGUCAAUGAAGCCAUCAUAUAUGCCCGACACACCCAUGUAGUUAUUGGAUCUUAUGUUAUAGUUAGAAUAUUUAACUGAGAGAAGAGGUGUGGGGCAGUUUGGGAAGUGUAGUGUGUGUGUGUGUGUGUGUUUUUAUUUAUUUUUUUUAUGCAUCAGUAUUUAGGAUGUCUUGGAAAGAGUGAUUUUACAAGAUAUAUCCAUAAUCAAGUACACGCAUAAGAAGUGAUAUUUUUAUAAACUGGAAGUGAAACAAAACAUCACUGAUGAGAAAGUACUCUCAUUAUCUUCAGGAUAGGUGAUUGUAACCUGUCAGAGAAAGGUUGUGAGCUCCCAGUCUUCUUUCCUCAGAGACCUGGACCUGAAUGAUAAUGAUUUAUAGGGGUCAGGAGUGCAGUAGCAGUUGCAGUGUAUGUGCAACUGAGACUAUAUAGAAGGAUUUAAUGCCAGCUAAAGCUGGCAUUAAAUCCUUCUAUAUAGUCUCUCAUACUACAUAGGUUUUACUCUACACCUUCUUCUCCUUGGCAUGCCUGGAGCCCUCAUUCCCUUAUAACUUUAUAUAUGUAUAUCAAGGGCGCAGAUUUGGUUUUGGCAUUGGUGGGGACGGAUGAUUCAACCACCAAACCCUGUGCUGUUUCUUUUUUUUUUCCUUUUUGUCUUUGCUUCUUGAUAAAAAAAAAGGAGAAAUACUCUUGCCUACAUAUGCUAUUCUACAUGCUUUUAAACCAUUUAAAAUUACAAUUCAUAGUUUUAUAUGUGAAUUAUAUAAUGUUAAAUUACUAUUAAAUAAAUGGUCAAAGGAGUUUGCAAAGAAAAGCGUCUGGACUUCUUAAAGUUGCUUGAAGACGUUUCACCUCUCAUCCGAGAAGCUUCUUCAGUUCUAAGGUCAAAUGGCCGAGAGUCCCAGAUUUAAACCCAGUGGGAGUAUCCCCCCAAGGAGGGACAAAGGACCCCCUGGUGAUCCUCUAAUCACAUGUGCCAAGGUGUGAAAGCGGGUGUGGGACCUAAUCAGCCAGGGUUUCGGGUGAGCUCAUUGUGAAACCUGGCCCCACCUUGUCAUGUGAAUUCCUGAGGUCAGAUGGCCCAGGAUGUGAGUGGGCGUUAAGGCGCCUGGGGAGGGAACUCAAAACUGGAUUAUAGAUGGAAGUUUAAAUAAAUGACUGAUUUUAGACUUUAGUUUACUUCAGCCAUAUUCCAUAUAAAUCAGGUAUCAUACAAAAAUAAAAAAAGCUUCAAAUAGAGUCAUGACAAUAAAAGAAUAUGACUUUAAGGACUUAACAACAUUACUUCAGUUAUAGUACACCAACAUGUCUUAUACAUUAGUACUAAGGGAACACUGAAUGACCUGGUGGUUUUUGUCCAUAAAACUACUCAUCUAAGAUUACCACAAAGUAAAAGAUCUCUCAGCAAAAUUAUGCAACAAUUUAGGCACACUGUUACCCCGAUCAAAUCAGUGAGCUGGGACUUUUUAUUCUAAACAUGAACUACUGUUACAGCAACAGACAUGGACUACUGGUGCCCCACACAACAACUCAAUGUCCACUAUGUGAAGGAGUAUACUAUACUGUCUAUACUAUGCUGUCCUGGUGGACAUGGCAACACUUUUUUCAUGGUUACAUACAGUUUUAGACUGAUGUGGGCCAAAGCCUAGCACAUACCUGCCAACAUUGAGACCUCAGAAUUAGGGAGACAUUCAAGGGGGGUUUUACAGUGUUUACUUAUCGGAAAAAAAUAAGUUAAAUGUCACCGGUCUGUUCCGGGGGUGUCCAAAUUCAGAGGCUGCGUCCACCUGAGGACCCGGCCUUCGUGGUCUAAGUGGGCCGGGUCCUCCGGAAGCCGGGUAGACCGGAAAAAAGCGAUUGUGAAAUUGGGGGGGGGUCUAGCCUUCAUAAUUACGUCACCUCUGCCGUCUGCUCCUUGCUGUCUAAAUAAAAUAAAAUAUAACCGGACGCUUGCGUAGAUUCUCGACCAUCUCACGCUUCUGUUUAAUCAGUUUUCUGUUUGACAUUUAUUCAGCUGUGUGAAAACCCCAGAGGAACCCUCCCGAGGGAUUAAUAAAGUUUUAUUUAAUCUAAUCUAAUCUAAUAACUUUAAUCUCAGCCAAACCGAUUUACUCACGAACAAAUAAAACACUGAAAAAGGCCAAACAAUAACAUGUUUAAGUUAUUUGAAGUUUACACAACUACAUUCUCGCCUGAAAAUAUGUUAAAAGUUUAUUUCGCGACCCAGAAAGAGUAAUAAGAGUAAUAUUAAUACUAAGUAGCUGCAGUAGUAGCAGCUAUUGUUGGAAACUGGAAUUGGCUGGGCCAAUCUACGAUACGAGAGAAAUUGGGGAGAAUGGUGGCUCCGGGAGAUUUUCGGGAGGGGCACUGAAAUUCGGGAUUCUCCCGGAAAAAUCGGGAGGGUUGGCAUGUAUGGCCUGGUAUUGCCUGUAACGUUAUUAUGACGGACACAUUUUAUGAGUGAACUUGACUUUAAGUGACUUACAGGUUUCUUUGAAUACUUUCUUAUAUCCAGGUUCUUCCUCUUUGCUGCCGUCCUCCUCUCCUCCUUGCAGGUCCUUGCAGCGCAGACUUGCCGCUGCUAAAGCUAAACAGAGCUCGCUGAAAGGCACAGCCAAUCACAUUGGCCAUAUUUGUCACAUGAGGUAGGACUCCAGUAGAGAACGUAAUUUAACUCUUUCUGCACCGCUGGGUGAAUGACACGUUGACAGAUCGUUUUUUUCUUUCUAUCGGGUUUGUUUUUCUUUACUCAAAGAGAUCAAAUUAUUAGUGGGGACAAUUCAAUAAUCGCUGGAUAUUGGUGGGGACAUGUCCCUUCCGUCCAUGCCAAAUCGACGCCCUUGAUGUAUAUAACUCACCUGGUGUUGUAACUAAAUCUCUGUUUGAUUGCACAGCUCCGAGUCCUGCCUUAUACAACGGGACACCCACAAAAAUCAGUGUUUAUUCAUCCGAUCUUCUUACGUAUGGUAAACCAAUCUAGAGGAGAAUGCAUUGACUACUUAUUGCAAAGAAAUUAAUUUCAAUACACAAAGUUGAUCUGAAUCCAAGCUCACAUUUCUUUCAUCCAGCAAAUCUGUUCUUCACAUCUGUUUAGAUGUGAAAUGUCAGAUAUUAAGUGAUGAAUAAGUGGAAAAAAAACUAAGAAUGCAUAUGAUUCCAGUAUUAUAAUAUUGUUGUUUAAAGCUAUUCAAAAGGAGUGAAAGA